rnacentral:rRNA from 1 species
AUUGAACGCUGGCGGCAGGCCUAACACAUGCAAGUCGAGCGAGCGGCGGACGGGUGAGUAAUGUCUGGGAAACUGCCUGAUGGAGGGGGAUAACUACUGGAAACGGUGGCUAAUACCGCAUACCAUCAGAUGUGCCCAGUUGGGAUUAGCUAGUGGGUGGGGUAAUGGCUCACCUAGGCGACAAUCCCUAGCUGGUCUGAGAGGAUGACCAGCCAACCGGGAACUGAGACACGGUCCAGACUCGUACGGGAGGCAGCAGUGGGGAAUAUUGCACAAUGGGCGCAAGCCUGAUGCAGCCAGGCCGCGUGUGUGAAGCAGGCCUUAGGGUUGUAAAGCACUUUCAGCGGGGAGGCGGUACCCGCAGAGGAAGCACCGGCUAACUCCGUGCCAGCAGCCGCGGUAAUUC